rnacentral:rRNA from 1 species
UGGGGAAUAUUGCACAAUGGGCGCAAGCCUGAUGCAGCCAUGCCGCGUGUAUGAAGAAGGCCUUCGGGUUGUAAAGUACUUUCAGCGGGGAGGAAAGGAGUAAAGUUAAUACCUUUGCUCAUUGACGUUACCCGCAGAAGAAGCACCGGCUAACUCCGUGCCAGCAGCCGCGGUAAUACGGAGGGUGCAAGCGUUAAUCGGAAUUACUGGGCGUAAAGCGCACGCAGGCGGUUUGUUAAGUCAGAUGUGAAAUCCCCGGGCUCAACCUGGGAACUGCAUCUGAUACUGGCAAGCUUGAGUCUCGUAGAGGGGGGUAGAAUUCCAGGUGUAGCGGUGAAAUGCGUAGAGAUCUGGAGGAAUACCGGUGGCGAAGGCGGCCCCCUGGACGAAGACUGACGCUCAGGUGCGAAAGCGUGGGGAGCAAACAGG